AUGAAUGGUGGACAAAAACCCGCAACCUUCUUCCGCUGCCCGAGCUCCCGGAGGAGCCGGCUCAGGCUGUUCGCCGGCUCGGAGGGGGAGGCCUAUGGGGGCGGAGGGGUCUGGUCCGCGGCCACAGCCACGACGAGCACGUGGACCCGGCACCGCGUGACAGCGAGAUGGAGGGGGAAGGGCGAGAAGGUGAGCGCCGGGAACGCCAUCGCAGGCGGUGCAUGGGGAAUGCAAUCGCUUGCCGCCGUCAUCUUCAACAGUGCAACUAGGUUGGAGAAUGGGGAUUAUUUGAAAUCUGAGUAG
rnacentral:rRNA from 1 species